rnacentral:misc_RNA from 1 species
CGGCCCCGGUGAGGGGCAUAGGCCAUGCCUGUUCCCUGCCAUCUGUUAGUUAAGAUAUAUCGGGGCUUUUAAGUGAACAUUUUUUACUUGAAAUGGCAGGGGGCAGGCAUGAAGAACUGAGGUGGGCAUAGGAGAAGGAUCUAUAUUUUCUGGGACUUAAUAUGCUUCUCCCCACCAUCAGUUUCAUUGGAGCUUCUUGCAUCUCUUAUGGUCGACGAAGCUCAUUGCUUUGAAAUUUGUGUUAGUAGGCUGAGCUGUUCAGGUUGCUCUUGCCACUGAUAAUGAUGGAAAGUUAAAUGGAAG